GAAACAAGUAAUUGUCGCGUAUUAGAUGGAAACAAUGUCCAGUGACGCCAUUGGCUGUUGUGAAAAUCGUACAAAUCCAUACAAUGCAGUCAUACAAUAUCAUACAAAUUAGCCAAAUUUAGUUGAUAUGUAAGACGUACGUAAGAGUAGUCACGUAAAAAGGGGUGAAAGUUCAGUAACCACCUGUGUGUCGUCUGAUUUAUAAUUAAUAAAAUAAAUCACAAUAAUACAUGGUGUCAGAAGUUGUAAUUGCAAGAUGCACUCUCAACAAAAUCAAAAAUGGAAAUCAAAACGGCUUUAUACAGGGGUGUCAGGGAUUCCAUAAUGUCAGGAGAGUACUUAAUGUUUUACAUUCUAGGAAGGGGUCAUCGGACACUGCAAUCCUGUCUCUGGAUGCAGAGAAGGCCUUUGACAGAGUGGAGUGGCCUUACCUCUUUGAAGUGUUAACUCGCUUUGGGUGUGGGAAACCAGAAGUUUUUAUUAAGGCUCAGAUACAGACUGUGAACACCAGGUUUAAGCUACUACAAUAUAACUGGCUAAUGAGAACAUAUAUUACCCCAGCAAAGUUACAUAAGUUUAAUAGGGUAAACCCAGAUCUAUGCUACAAGUGUAAUGACUCCAAAGGGACUCUGUUUCACUGUUUGUGGGAAUGUAAUUAAAUGAAAGACUUCUGGAAAGAGGUAGCACAAAUUAUAUUUCAAAUAAUGUCGGUUAACCCGCCUCUCCAUCCCAACGUAUUCAUCCUGGGGCUAUAGCCUUCUGAUCCUAACUUAAAAAAAGAGAUAAAAGUACUUUUGGAUAUGUGCCUACUACAAGCCAAACGGUUGAUUUCUCUCACUUGGAAAGAUGUGAAUAGGCCGAGUAUUGGUCGGUGGCUUAGAGAAAUGUCUUCUGGUCUAACAAUGGAAAGAAUAACAUAUAUGGUUAAAGAUAGACAAGACACUUUCAAAAUAAUGUGGACGAUAUAUCGACUGGCAAAUGAAGGGAAUCCUGAGUAAUUUAGUCAUUUUCAUGCGGGAGAGGGAUAUUAGUAGGGGACAAUGACAUUGUGUGACUGGAUAUAGGCUCCAGAUAAAUUCUAUAAAAGGGGAUCAGACAAGAUGAAAGGUAAUCCUGUCUGUAUUUACUCUAUAUCAUUUGUGUUUUUGUUCUAUUUUAUAUAAGGGUUUUUUGUUUAUUUACAUUUGUAUAUUGUAUACAUAAUUUUAUUUAUAUUUAACAUGUAAUUUUAUUUUUAAUCUGCUGAUGUGAUUUAUGUCAGUAACUUGGUUUUCAUAUCUAUUAUUUAUCAGGGCUUGUCUACAUUUAUGUAUGUUUUGGUUGUAAUUGCUUCGAAAGAAGAAUGCCACAGCUACAACCACCCUCGAGCUUAUGUCUUCAAGGACAUCUGGAAGAUUUGGAUACAAAAACUCGACCUGUUCCUGACGGCAAGCGGCAUUGCGGAGAAGUAAAAAAAAGCAGUGUGCCACAUUUCAACACGUCGCGGGUGAGGAGGCAAUUCAAGUUUGCAAUACUUUUGAAUUUCAAGAUGGUGAGAGAGACAAAAUCGACGUUCUCAAACAAAAGUACAAAGACUAUUGUGAACCGAGAAAAAAACGACCUUACAUCCAUCACGUAUCCUUCACGAGGGCUCAAAGACCGUCAGAGAAUAUUGAUGCCUACGUCACAGACCUAAAGAACAAGGCAGAAGACUGUGAGUUCGGAGAACUGCAUGAUUCAUUAAUCAGAGACAGAAUAGUUUGUGGCAUAAGAGAUUGACACAGUAAGAGCAGAUUACUUUGAGGGGCAGACCUCACAUUAGCAAAAGCUGUGGACAUUUGUCGAGCUAACGAAAUCACGUCUAACCAAGUAAAAGUGCUAAACGAAGAAGUAGACAUGCACAAUGACUUGAGUGACAACACAAAAUGCAGCAGAUGUGGUUCUAAACAUGAGCAGAGAAAAUGUCCUGCCUACGGACAAACGUUCAGACUGUGCAAUAAAAAGAAUCAUUUUGCAAAAAUGUGCAGAAAUGAAAUAUGUUCUUUGCAUGGUAGAAGUGCAGAGAAAUAAAGUGAAAAGUAUACAAGCUGUCACAACAGAGAUAGAAAAAGAUAAGGAGAAAUGGUCAAAAAUAAUCAAUAUAAGAGGCAAGCAAGUCACAUUGAAGAUGGACACUGGAGCAGAAUGUUCUCUCAUUAAAGACUUUCAAUUCGUUGGGCACAACGGAGAAGCUGAAUAAAUCGAGACAUAUCCAGCUGCAGACCCGCAGCACCACCAGUUUCAGAACCCCAGUUUCAGAACCCCAGCGCCAGAACCUGAAGUGAGGGGCGGAGUUAUUGACAAUGAGACAAGCAUGGCGGAGAGCAUGAGACAUUUCGAAUGAAUGAAGACCACAAGGAAAAGGCCCGCAACAAUCUCCUGGAACAGUCAGAAGCUUCCAGAGAGCCCUUUCUAUUUCAUUUUGUGUUCAGGGAUGACAUGGAGUUAUUUUAGCAAGAAUGUAAGGACAAAAUGGGCCUGAGAGUGAAUUCCUCAUUUGAUACAUUUUAAGUUUAAUUUAUACAGGAUUGUCAUGAUUUAAUGGGCCUAGGGGUGAAUUGGUCAUUUGUUGUAUAUAUUUUUAUUGUUUCUUUUAAAAUUAUGCUGAAUUUUCUCUCUUUUUAGUUUUUUGACAUGUUUUAUUUUACAUAAAGAAAAAUGCA